rnacentral:rRNA from 1 species
AGAUUGAACGCUGGCGGCAUGCCUUACACAUGCAAGUCGAACGGUAGAGUAGCAAUACUUGAGAGUGGCGAACGGGUGAGUAAUAUAUCGGAACGUGCCCAGUCGUGGGGGAUAACGUAGAGAAAUUUACGCUAAUACCGCAUACGAUCUAAGGAUGAAAGCGGGGGACCGUAAGGCCUCGCGCGAUUGGAGCGGCUGAUAUCAGAUUAGGUUGUUGGUGAGGUAAAGCUCACCAAGCCGACGAUCUGUAGCUGGUUUGAGAGAACGACCAGCCACACUGGGACUGAGACACGGCCCAGACUCCUACGGGAGGCAGCAGUGGGAAUUUGGACAAUGGGCGAAAGCCUGAUCCAGCAAUGCCGCGUGCGAGGAAGAACGGCCUUCGGGUUGUAAGCUGCUUUUGUACGGUAACGAACGGUCUAGUACUUAA